AGAGGGAGAUAUGGAAGAUGGGAUAACCUACUCUGAUGUAAGCUUCAGGGCUAUGUCCAGAGAAGUGGGUGCAAAUGUAAACUACUCUGGCGUAAGCUAUAAACCUUCAAAAAGGCAAAAGACGGUCACUUGUGAUGACAGCGAUGCAGUGUAUAGCGGGGUUAAAAACUGAGAAUGUAGGGAGGAAGGGUCUUCCGUAUGAAGAAACAAAAGCUGUUUGGACCCGAAAGACAAAGAGAAAGUUGUGCUACAUUAAAAUAUCAUCUUCAUGUUAGCGUAGUAUUUGUGUUGACAUUUCAUACU